GACGAACGCUGGCGGCGUGCUUAACACAUGCAAGUCGAGCGGUAAGGCCCUUUCGGGGGUACGACGAGCGGCGAACGGGUGAGUAACACGUGGGUGACCUGCCCUCAGCUCUGGGAUAAGCCUGGGAAACUGGGUCGUAAUACCGGAUAUGACUCCAUGACGCAUGUUGUGGGGUGGAAAGCCUUGUGCGGCUGAGGAUGGGCCCGCGGCCUAUCAGCUUGUUGGUGGGGUGAUGGCCUACCAAGGCGACGACGGGUAGCCGGCCUGAGAGGGCGACCGGCCACACUGGGACUGAGACACGGCCCAGACUCCUACGGGAGGCAGCAGUGGGGAAUCUUGCGCAAUGGGCGAAAGCCUGACGCAGCGACGCCGCGUGAGGGAUGACGGCCU
rnacentral:rRNA from 1 species